rnacentral:misc_RNA from 1 species
UGGAAGUAAAAGUCGUAACAAGGUCUCCGUUGGUGAACCAGCGGAGGGAUCAUUACAGAGUUACUACUCCAAAACCCAUUGUGAACCUUACCUAUGUUCUGUUGCCUCGGCGGCGUGGUCAGCGCCCCCUCUGAAAAGAGGACGAUGCCCUCCCGCCGGCAGCACCAAACUCUUGAAUUUUACAGCGGAUUACAGUUCUGAUUUGAAAAGAAAAAACAAGUUAAAACUUUCAACAACGGAUCUCUUGGUUCUGGCAUCGAUGAAGAACGCAGCGAAAUGCGAUAAGUAAUGUGAAUUGCAGAAUUCAGUGAAUCAUCGAAUCUUUGAACGCACAUUGCGCCCGGCAGUAAUCUGCCGGGCAUGCCUGUCCGAGCGUCAUUUCAACCCUCGAACCUCCGUUUCCUCAGGGAAGCUCAGGGUCGGUGUUGGGGCGCUACGGCGAGUCUUCGCGACCCUCCGUAGGCCCUGAAAUACAGUGGCGGUCCCGCCGCGGUUGCCUUCUGCGUAGUAAGUCUCUUUUGCAAGCUCGCAUUGGGUCCCGGCGGAGGCCUGCCGUCAAACCACCUAUAACUCCAGAUGGUUUGACCUCGGAUCAGGUAGGGUUACCCGCUGAACUUAAGCAUAUCAAUAAGCGGAGGAA